rnacentral:rRNA from 1 species
GAUGAACGCUGGCGGCGUGCUUAACACAUGCAAGUCGAACGAGAAGUGAAGACGGAAACCUUCGGGCGGAAGGCUUUAUUUCGAGUGGCGGACGGGUGAGUAACGCGUGGGUAACCUGCCUCAUACAGGGGGAUAACAGUUGGAAACGACUGUUAAUACCGCAUAAGACCACAGCACCGCAUGGUGCGGGGGUAAAAACUCCGGUGGUAUGAGAUGGACCCGCGUUCGAUUAGCCAGUUGGCGGGGUAACGGCCCACCAAAGCGACGAUCGAUAGCCGAUCUGAGAGGAUGACCGGCCACAUUGGGACUGAGACACGGCCCAAACUCCUACGGGAAGCAGCAGUGGGGAAUAUUGCACAAUGGGGGAAACCCUGAUGCAGCGACGCCGCGUGAGUGAAGAAGUAUUUCGGUAUGUAAAGCUCUAUCAGCAGGGAAGAAAAUGACGGUACCUGAGGAAGAAGCCCCGGCUAACUACGUG